rnacentral:rRNA from 1 species
AUACGGAGGGUGCAAGCGUUAAUCGGAAUUACUGGGCGUAAAGCGCGCGUAGGCGGCUCGGUAAGUCGGGUGUGAAAUCCCUGGGCUCAACCUGGGAACUGCAUCCGAGACUGUCAGGCUAGAGUGUGGGAGAGGGUAGUGGAAUUCCCGGUGUAGCGGUGAAAUGCGUAGAUAUCGGGAGGAACAUCAGUGGCGAAGGCGACUGCCUGGCCCAACACUGACGCUGAGGUGCGAAAGCGUGGGUAGCAAACAGGAUUAGAUACCCUGGUAGUCCACGCCGUAAACGAUGUCGACUAGCCGUUGGGAACCUUAGAGUUUCUUGUGGCGCAGUUAACGCGAUAAGUCGACCGCCUGGGGAGUACGGCCGCAAGGUUAAA